rnacentral:rRNA from 1 species
GAGUAGCAAUACUCAGUGGCAGACGGGUGAGUAACAUGUAGGUAUCUUCCCUUUGGUGAGGAAUAACACGAGGAAACUUGUGCUAAUACCUCAUAAGUCUUUACGGAGAAAGCUUUAUGCGCCAUUGGAUGAGCCUGCACUUGAUUAGUUUGUUGGUGGGGUAAUGGCCUACCAAGACUUUGAUCAAUAGCUGAUUUGAGAGGAUGAUCAGCCACAUUGGGACUGAGACACGGCCCAAACUCCUACGGGAGGCAGCAGUAGGGAAUCUUGCACAAUGGAGGAAACUCUGAUGCAGCGAUGCCGCGUGAGUGAAGAAGGCCCUUGGGUUGUAAAGCUCUUUCGUCGGGGAAGAAAAUGACUGUACCCGAAUAAGAAGGUCCGGCUAACUUCGUGCCAGCAGCCGCGGUAAUACGAAGGGACCUAGCGUAGUUCGGAAUUACUGGGCUUAAAGAGUUCGUAGGUGGUUAAAAAAGUUGGUGGUGAAAUCCCAGAGCUUAACUCUGGAACUGCCAUCAAAACUUUUUAGCUAGAGUAUGAUAGAGGAAAGCAGAAUUUCUAGUGUAGAGGUGAAAUUCGUAGAUAUUAGAAAGAAUACCAAUUGCGAAGGCAGCUUUCUGGAUCAUUACUGACACUGAGGAACGAAAGCAUGGGUAGCGAAGAGGAUUAGAUACCCUCGUAGUCCAUGCCGUAAACGAUGUGUGUUAGACGUUGGAAAUUUAUUUUCAGUGUCGCAGCGAAAGCAAUAAACACACCGCCUGGGGAGUACGACCGCAAGGGUU